rnacentral:lncRNA from 1 species
UGGAUUCAUGUGCAACAACUGUGUGGGGAAGUAAUGAAGGAUGGUUUGGAUGAUACUAGGGUUUGGGAAGAUUGCAUUGAUGAGUACCCUAGAAAAAACCUGGUCAAUCCCUUCACUGAGAAGUAUAGUUGGAUUAAUGAUGAGAUCUUGAACUUUGUCAGGCUUGACUAGGGAAGGUUUUAUUAACAAUUUGCUUUUUGAAUUAUACCCUUUUUUAAAAUUAUUGUUUUGUUUUAAAUUAUCUCAAAAAUUACUAAAGAGGUUGAUGUCGCUGAAUCAGAUAAAUGUUUGAAUGUCAAAAUUAUGAUAGCAAUUUGUAAGUUGUGCCCAUGCGAUAAUUUAAGUGGGUGCAUGUAUAGUUGUGUGACUUUAAAAGCUUAAUGGUGAUAUUAAGCCAUAGUAAACCAUGUGAGACCAUAGAAGCUAGUGAGUUGCAAUUGGUUGUCCAUGGCAAAUAUGAAAGACAUCUCUGUGCUUAUAAAUUCAUGUUAACUUUUGACACUUUUUGUACUUUUUUUUGGUGGAUAAAGGAUUGAUUUUUAUUAUUAAAUAGAUUAAUUUAAUUCCUAUAUUAUUAAAAAGAAUUAAAUAAGAUUAAAUUGUAGUAAAGUUAACAUUUUCUGUUUAAAAAUGACAUAUAAUUUUUUUUUUGUAGUUUAACUACAAACAAAGAUUUUAUUUGCAAUAGGGUUGAGCAAGAAAUCUGAGAUACAAUAAAAACAACUCAAAUCGAGGUGUUUGAACAAUUAAUGAAAAAUAAAUUAAAAAAUCACGAUUAAAUAAACCAAACCAAAUUCUAUUUAAUUUAUAAUUAAAUUAUUUUUUAUGAUGCAAAACAAAAAUUUUAUAUUUAAAAUAGAAAAAAAUAAUUUAAAAUUUCUAUAUAAAAGUUAUUGAUUUUUCUUUAUUUGCUUCAAAAAUUAUUAUUUUUUAGAAAUACUCGUAAAACGGACUUUGGAAUUUUAUCAAUUAAUGUUUAAAUGUCAUAAAACAAAAUUCAUUUUUUUAAAUAAGUCAAAAAAAAACCCAAAACUCAAAAGUAGCAUGAAAAACUAAGAAUGGAACCGAACUAUAAUGGAUGGUUCAAAAAAUCUGAAAUACUCAAUCGAACCGAUCUGAACUUACCCCGAAUUUACGGAACCAUUAAAAAAUUUAAAAUACUAACUCUCUUAAAAAGUAAAUUAUAUAUUUUUUAAAACAAUAAUUGUUAACUCCUUUAAAAUUUGACCUCAUUUUGAUUCUUUUUAAUAGUAGAAUGACUAAAUUGACCCAUUUUAAUAGUAGAGGAAUUAAUUUGAUCAAAACCCUAUAAUAGAGGGACUUGUUAAAUACAUGACUAAUAUAUUAAAAAAACCCUUAAACUAUUUUUGUACUUAAUUAAGCUCCUAUCCUAUUAUUUUUAUCCAUAAAAGUCAUUGAUUUUAAUAUUAAAGUAAAAUUAUUUUGACUUUUUAAACUAAUUUGCAUUUUAUGCUGAUAUGAUGUGAAUAUGAUGAGAAUAAUUUAUUAAAUAAAAAUAAAAUAAUAGUUUAUUUUUUAGUUUUCUCAUGUUUGUUUUACGAUUGUGAUUGCUCCUCCCAACAAUUUCGUCUCCAAGAUUUGAACUUAUAUCUCCUCUUAGAAGUAUAUGUACAAUGUAACUUACCAUUACACCUAAUACUUAUCGGUAUAAAAUAAUAAUUUUGAAAGUAAACUAAAAUGUUAUUUUAAAUUUUCUUGAAAAUGCUUAAAUAGAGAUAUAACACAUUUAAUCACUUUUUUCUAAAACUUACACCCUUUUUAAAUUUUGCAAAAACAUUUUUUUCAUAAGGUCAUUUUCAAAUAUUUUGUAGAGUAGUUGCAUCAAAUAUAUAAUUUUUAAAAAAAAUUAAAAGCAAUAUUUUUUAUAUAUUUUUUGCAGGGGACCCCACAAUAACGGAAGUAGAUUUCUUUCUUAGGUAUUGAAUCUUGGUGUCAUAUCCCUAAUUUCUAAUUUAUAAAAUUGUAAAAUUAUAGUAAAAUUGAGUAUGUGACCUAGUGAUUAAGAGUCAAGUGACAUUAUCUUUGAGAUUUGAGGUUGAUUCUCUUCACUUACAAAUUCUUUUUCUUUUAAAGCCUGUGUCGUCCACCCCUAGCAAAUUGUCAUAUUUUAAGGUGGGUUUGGAUGGGCGAUUGGGUGCGGUGCGGUGUGGUGCGUUUAGCUUAUUUUUUGUCUCACGCUACAGUAUCGCUACAGUAUCUAAUCUCACCGCCACCGUUGUUUUUACACUAACCGCAGGUAAAUGCACCGCCCAUCCAAACUCACCCUUAGUUUGACUCAAACACUUUCAUUUUUUUCUCUUCUUUUCUCCCUUUUUCUUCCCUUUUUUUUCUCUUCACCCUUGUGUCGCCCCUUUGUGUUCUCUUCUUGUUUUUCUUUUCUUCGUGCCGAAUUACUGAUUACUUUGGCCGAAUUCCUUUGUACUGCUCAAACUAGUGGUUUAUUAAACCUAAAGCAACUAUGCUAAGUUUUUGGAAAAUUUGAUCAAAAUAGCGAUUUUUAGACCAAAAGUUUUUAGUUGAUCAUUCUAGUGGCUAAUGUAACAUUCACGAUUUAACUAUAAUGUCUAAGCCGGGUUUGAGAGGUUACACCUGAAAUUAACAUUAAAGGAUUUUACUUAAAUAUCACCUUUGAUCUAAAUAAAACUAAACUAAUAUCGCAAAACGGAUAAAAACACUUAAAAUUUAAAAUAAUAAUAAUAAUAACGCACUUUCAAAUAAUGAACCGAUAAGAAAAAUUGGUUGGGAUUUGUCAACGUUGAUAGUACUGCAAACACCGUUUACAAGCUUUUAAAAUCAAAGAAUGACAAAAUCAAUUAAUUUAUUAAAUUGAUAGAACCCAUCUCUAAGCUUGCGGUUCUUUUAUUGCUCAUGAGUUUGAUGAGAUUUUUUUUUUAGUCUUAUAUUUAUUCAAUUUCUCUUAAAUAUUGAAUAGACGUUUAAACUUAGAUGAAUCAACAAUGUCUUUACUCUCUUACCACCAUUUUUUUUAAUUAUAUUGAAUUUUUUUUUAUCAUUUAUACCGAUUGAAAUUGUCGGAAAUUUAUAGGGAUAAAAUAUAGAGCCACUAAAUUAUUAAUAAGUUUAUGUUUUGGUUAUUCAACUUCAAAACGUUACAUAACGGUUCUUGAACUUUUGAAAGUUUUCAUUGAAAUUAUUGAACUAUUCAAAAGUUUUUGUUUAAGCCACUAGGCUUCUAAGGGUUUUGUUUUAAGAGAGAGCUCCAAAUGACGAUUUGAUGAUAGGUAUGGUGAAUCAAUACCCAUUGACAAGUAGAAGAAUAUGCCCUAGAUCCAAGUCGAUCUAUCAAUUAGUGUCGGAGAUCGGAGAAGAAAACUGUUUGGAUUUUGGUUUGUAGAUUUGUGAUGUUCAAAGUUGUUUUAUGAAAAAGAAAACUAAAUUGUAGAAGAUAAGAGGAAGAAGAGCUUCCGAUUGUUGCAGGCAGCGCAAACAUAGAAGGAACAACUCAGUGACUUAAAUGAAAAGUUGCAAAUAGUUAAAGGACCAUUUUAUAAUUUUUUAAAGUUGAGUGAUUGAAACAUAAACUUACUAAUACUUUAGUGACCUUAAAUGUAGUUUAUCCAAUUUAUAAUCGAAUUAGAUCUUUCUCUAUUAUCAACUAAAUCAAUUCAUAUUGAUGAAUCAAUAUUACAGAUUUUGGAUAUUAGAAAACACGACACAAUGAUCCGAAAUUGACUAAGAAGUACAUUUGAUAUAUCUAAACCCUAUAUGCCCAUAUUUAUUUUAUCUAAAUAAAAUUAUUUUUUUAAAAAAAAAUUAUUAUUAGUAACAAUCAUGAACAAUAAUAAUACAAAAACAUGAGAUAUAGUAAAAAUAGAUAAAUAAAUCAUUAUAAAAAUACAAAAAUGUCAGGCCUGCAGAAUAAUCUAAAACAAAAAGAACAAAUUGAUAGCAAUUGCAAUACUCAAAUAAUUCAGAAACAAAGUAGAGAUGUAUUAACUUGAUCAAACUGCUGAAAUUUGCAUCCUAACAUUGCCAUCAUCAAAUCAACAUGAUGAUUAACACCGCUCAACUAAAAAAAUUUUGUCAAAAGCCUCAAGACACCCACUGCAUUUGUGAUGCAUAAAAGACAAGUCACGGAUUGUCUAUCAUCAUUAUCAUCUCGAAUCUAUCAUCAUCACUAUGAUCUAUUAUGAUAAAACCCUUUGAGAACGAUUCCUAAUAGAUCUGACUGCACCCUUAUAUUGGCAAAUCUCAUACAUACACCAAAAUAUGAUUAAAAAUUAAAAGUAAAAAAUAAACAUCUACUUUCAAAGAAAACAAAUUAGAUAAAACAAAAACCACAAAAUUAACGUGUAUUGAGAUUAAAAACAAAACAAAAUUGAAAAAAGAAUGUUGAAGAGCCGCUACUAGCUCGAAAGCUAACGUUGAAGAAAUAAAGAGUUUUCUAUGGAAAAAAAAUAUUUUAUUUUUUCUUUAUGCAUAAUUAUUUAUUAAAUAAAAUUAUUAUUUAACUACAAUUUAAAAAACUUGUGAUGCAUACUACAAAGAAAUUUAUGGUGUAAAUUUUUUUUAACACAUUUUAUGGAGACUGUCCUGUAAGGAUUUCCCAAUUAUAAAUCAUAUGCUAUUUGACAUCAAAUAUGGGAUUGAAAAAUAUAACAUAAUUAUCAUAAUUAGCAUGAUAAAUUAUUAUGGAUGGAUAUAAAGCUUUUUGCACUGCAAAAUUUCUAUUUCCAACCUCUAAAAAUUAGAACAUAUGAAGACAUGUUUAUACUAUUCCUUUUAUGAAGAUUUUCAUUAAAUUAUUUAUAUAUAUUAUAUAUAUAGAUAUAUAUAACAUUAUGAAUUUUGUUUUAAAGGUUUCAUUAUUUGAUAUUUUUUAAUUAAAUUAAUAUCUUAUUUAUUCGUGACAUGAAAUUAAUAAAAUAAAUAAAUAAUAAUAUAAAUAUAAUAGCAUUCCCAAUUAAUUGAUGUUCAACAAUAUUCCUUAAUAAGAUGUUAACAUUUUUAAUUAUGUUCAUAAAACUAUACACUUUUAAUGCAUAUAUAAAUAUUUUUUUAUAUUUUUUUAACAUUAAUCUCAUUAUAUGUUAUUAUCAUAUAUGCUCUUUUUGAUACAAUGUUUAGAACUACUCAUAGCCCCUCCCUAACUGUUAAAUAGGAUGAUAAUAUGUUUCAGCACAUUCAAACCCACGUCCUUCACUGGCAAUAAUAUCAAUACCAAUUGAGCUAAAACUUAAUCAGCAUUUUUACCUCAACAUAAUUCAAUUCUAGCUUGGCCUGAAAUUAAAUAUUAAUUUAUCUAUCUCGAAUUCGACUUGAAAAAUUAAAGUUAUACUCAAAUCCGACCCGACGUAAUAUGCUACAAUUUUUUUUUUACAUUUUAUCAUAGUAGAAUAAUAAUUUUAUUAUUUUUAAUAAUACUAUUAAUUAUUUUUAAGUACAAUUAUAUUAGCGCAAAUAUUAAUAUAAAUUUUAUUAUAUAUUUUAAAUUAACAUUAUACAUAUAAAAGAGGACUUGAUUAAUUAAAAAAUUGGUACUUGAAGCGGGCAGGUUUUCCCUAAACCGGACUUGAUUAAUUAAAAAAUUAAAUCCGUCUCCAAACCCGAUUUCAAAAAUAAAAAAUUCCCAACCCCAUAGGAUCGGGUCAGUUUGCAACCUGUCGGGUACAGGUUUUUCCAUCCGAAUAACCCAAUUGAAGACUAUAAAUAGACAGAUCUUGAUCUCAUAUACAAACAUCCCAUCACCAUCGCAUUCUUUAAGCUUUUCAAUGGAGUUUUUAAUGAAAAUAUGUCUCCUAUUCCUUUGUAGCUUCAUUUCCUACUUUGUUAACAUGUUUUUUCAGAAGAGAAAUCAACAUUGCUAUAUGUUGGGUUACGAGUGUUUCAAGGCUGCCGGUGAUAGAAAGCUCGACACUGAUGCUUGAGUGAGAGUUGUGAUGAGGAACAAGAAGCUUGGUCUGGACCAAUACAGGUUUCUUUUAAAAACCAUUGUUAGUUCUGGUCUUGGUGAAGAAACUUAUGGUCCAAGGAAUGUUGUUGAUGGUAGAGAAGAAUUUCCUUCGGGAAACGAUGCACAUGCCGAGAUGGAUGAGAUCAUGUUCAGCACUCUCGAUAAUCUAUUCGAGAAAACAGGAGUUUACCCGUCAGAAAUCGACAUACUCGUCAUCAAUAUCUCGUUGUUUUCACCUGCACCGUCGUUAACAUCCCGGAUUAUAAACAGGUACAAGAUGGUUGCAAUCGAUCUGGUGCAGCAGUUGUUCAAGACAUACAAGAACCAGUUCGCCAUCGUUGUGAGCACCGAAUCAAUCGCUAGGCAUUGGUACUGCGGCAAAGAGAAAUCGAUGAUGUUAUCGAAUUGCCUGUUCCGUAACGGAGGGUGGUCGAUCCUCUUAACAAACAAAAGGGGUUUGAAGGAUCGAUGCUUGUUGAAGUUAAAGUGUACCGUAAGACCCAAUAUAGGAUACGAUGACGAAGCAAAUGGAUGUUGCAUACAGGUUGAAGAUCCAUAAGGCUACCAAGGUUUCCGCCUUACUAAAAGCAUAAUAAAAGCUGUUACUAAAGCUUUUACAGAGAAUUCCAAGCUCCUAUUGCCAAAAAUAUUACCAGUUUCGGAACUGCUUCGAUAUGCAAUAUCAACUCUCGGGAAAAAAUCAACCGAAGGCCAAAAUUUAAGUUUCAAUUUAAAUCUCAAGUCUGGGGUUGAUUAUUUUUGUUUCCAUCCAGGUGGAAAGGCAUUGAUUGAUAGACUUGGGAAGAGUUUGGGACUUAGUGAAUAUGACUUAGAGCCAACUAGAAUGACACUAUACAGAUUUGGGAACACAUCAGCAAGUGCUUUAUGGUAUAUUUUGAGUUACAUGGAAGCCAAGAAGAGGUUGAAGAAAGGUGAUAAGAUUCUCGUGGUGGGCCUUGGAGCUGGGUUCAUGUGCAACAACUGCGUGUGGGAAGUAAUGAAGGAUGGUUUGGAGGAUACUAGGGUUUGGGAAGAUUGCUUGAUGAGUACCCUAGAAAAGACCUGGUCAAUCCCUUCACUGAGAAGUAUAGUUGGACCAAUGAUGAGCGCUUGAACUUUGUCAGGAUUGACAACAGAAUGUGUUAUUAACAAUUUACUUUUUGAAUUAUACCCUUUCUUUUUAAUUUAUUUUGUUUUAAAUUAUCUCAAAAAGUGCUAAAGUGGGUGAUGCCACUGAAUCAGAAAAAUGUUUUGAAGUGUGAAAAUUAUUGGAGCGAUUUGUGGGUUUUGGCCAUAGUAAACCAUGUGAGACCAUUGAAGCUAGUGAUCGGUUGCAAUUGUUUAACUCUUCCUUUCAAUUUCUAACUCUUUUACUCGUUUUCAUUUAGAAAAAUUAUUUGAUAUAGCCAUAAAAAUUGGCAUUAUAUCCAUUUAAGGUAUAAUAAAAAUGUAAAAAUAUAUAUAUAAACAAAAUUAAUAAAAAGUAAGUAAAAAAAACAUGUGCAGUUAAAAUAUUUUAUUGAAAAUGUAUUAAAUAUUAACACUUUUGGUUACUAAUUUUUUUACCGGUGAAAGAAUUUAUCAAGUCCUUCUAUUUUAAGGAUUAGAUUAGAUUAAUCUCUCUAUUAUUAAAUAGGAAAAAGGAUUGUAUGAAAUAGUGACGCCAUGUCACCUGUAUCUUUUUUUUAAUAGUUUUAUGUCACAUCAGCAUUUUCAUCCUAAAUUUCAGCAUUUUCAUCCUGAAAUAAAUCAAAUCCAAACUAAAAUUUUGAAAUUGAGGAUAAAAUUACUAAUGCGGCAUAAAACUAUUGAAAAGGGAUAAUAUCUUUAUUUCAUACAAUCGUUUCUCUAUUAAAUAGAUCAAUUUAAUUUUUGUACUAUUAAAAAGAAUCAAAUAAGACCAAAUUGUAAUAGAGUUAACAUUUGUUGUUUAAAAAAUGACAUGAAAAUUAUUUUUUCUUUUGCAAUUCAACUACGAACAAAAAUUUCAUUUGCAAGAGGGUUGACUAAGAAAAUUCGAGAUACCAAAAACCAACCCAAAUUGAGAUAUUUGGACUAUUUAUAAAAUAAUGUUUUUAAAAAUAUUAUAUAAAAUUUAUUAAUUUUUUUAGUUUAAGAGUUUUUGAGAUUUCUAUUCGCUUAAAAAAUUAUUAUUUUUUAGAAAUACUCAUAAUUUUUUGAAAACUUAUCAAUUAAUGUUAAAAAAUUAUAAAACAAAACUCAUUUUAUCAAAAUAUGUCAAAAAACCUAAAACUCAAAAAACUUGAUCGAACCAAACCAAACUCACAAUAGUUAAAAAGUAAAAAAAAAAAAAACACCUAAUUUGUGGAACCAUUAAAAAAAGUUCAAAAUAUUAACCAUGUUAAAAAGAAAUAUAUAAUUUUUUUGAACUACAAAAGCUAACUCCAUUAAAAUUUAACCUUAUUUUUUUUCUUUUUAAUAAUAUAAUGACUAAAUUAACUCAUUUUAAUAGUAGAAGAGUUUAUUUGAUAAAAUCUCUAUAAUAGAGGAACUUGGUAAAUACAUGGCUAAUAUAUUUGAAAAAGUCCUUAAACUAUUUUUGCACUUAAAUAAGCUCCUAUACUACCAUAAAAGUCAUUAAUUUUAAUAUUAAAGUAAAAUUAUUUUGAAUUUUUAAACUAAUUUACAUUUUAUGAUGAUGUGAUGUGAAUAUGAUGUGAAUAAUUUAUUAAAUAAAAUAAAAAAAUAAUUUUGAAAGUAAAACAAAAUGUUAUUUUAAGUUUUUCUUGAAAAUACUUAUAUACAUAACACACUUAAUCAUUCUUUUGAAAAUUUUGAUAACUCUCUUAAAUUUUAUGUUGAUGUUAUAAUUGUCUAGGAUUUCUAUUAUAUCAACAAAAAAAUUAAGAUAAGAGCCUAAAAUUCAAAAUAAUUCAUUCCUAUGAACUUUUUUUUUUAUAAUUUCAUUAUAGAUUCUAAUCAUAUAUUCUCUUUUUGAUGCCUAGAACUACUCAUAGCUUCUUCCCAACCCUUAAGUUGGAGGAUAAUGCGCUUCAACACACUCAAACUCACGUUCUCCUAUACUGACAACAAUGUCUAUACUAAUCAAACUAAGAUCUAAUCGACAAAAUCAUAGGAUAGGAAGUUAUUUAACUAUAAAAAAAUUGAAGAGCUUGUUUAAACAAAGUGAGAUACUUUAACAGGUUUUUUAAUAUAUUACCCUAAAUACAUUCAUUUUUUUUUAUCUAUAACAUCUAAAAGAUAAUAUUCGAAUCUAGAAGAAAACAGUAGCAUUCAACUAAAAAAUUUAUGAAUCGCAUGUGUUCAUUUACCUGUAUCCUAUGCUUUAUCAGCACAUCUCAAUCUGGCUUGCAACUUUGGCUAGCUAGUUUCUAUUUUUGGUACAUUAAUUAUGACUGUCUAACUAUUUGACAAUAAAUAACAAUAACCCAGGGACAAUGUAUCCAUUCUAAAUUUUUUAGCAUUCAUGAGUUUAUUAACCAUGCUAUCAUGCACAUUCAUAAUAAUCAAGAAAACAGUAGGUCAUGAACUAAAUUUUCUAUCCCCCACCAUUUAAAUUACGGUUUCUAAUUAAUCUCAUCUAUAUUAAAUUAUGCACAUUUAAAGUUGUCCCUAACAUAAUUACAAAUUUCUGAAUAGAGGAUGGUUGAUUUGGAGGCAGCUAAGCAAUAGUAAACAUUAUGAUUUAUGGGAUAUGGUGGGAUUUGUUAUUAAGGUUUUUAAUUGGAUUAAAUUUAUCAAUUUCUUUGUUUAGAACUUAUCAGUUUCAAUGUUAAACUUCAUACUUUUAGGUUAUUGAAUUAAUUAAAAUUAGAUUAUUAGAUUAUAGUUUUAAUUAUUUUAUGAUGUGUUACUAUUGUGUCGGAUUUAUAUGUACAAUUUAUAAUUGUAACUUAAUUUCAGAAGCGAUAAAUUGUGUUAUUUCUUUGUUUUUAAAGUAAUUGAAGUUUAUUCAAUUUUUUACGUCUUAUUAAUAUGUUUUAUAUAGACUUUGACUUUUAGUAUUUUUAUAUUGUAUUUGUAUUAUUUUUAUGGGACAAGUUUUUAGUGCCUUAAAAUGUUGGUAGUAGUAGAAGCGAAGUCAAAAAAUAUUUUUAAGAGGGUCAAAAUUAAAUUAUAAUUUUUAAAAACUUAACUCUUUAUAAUUUUUUAAAAAUUUAAAUUUAAAUUUUAUAUUUUAGAAAAAUAAAGUAAUAAUUUUUUUAUUAAUUUAAAAUUUUAAAAUGAUUAAAAAGUCUAAAUGAAUAAUUUUUUUAUUUUAAGAGAGAAUGAGCCCUACCAGCCCUCGUUAGGUACGCCGUCUCUGCUAUUAAACUUGAUGAGCCUAAAAAGACAUGUUGAGCCUGUAAAGGCAAUGUCAAGCUUGAAAAGGUGGAAAACUUUAGUUGCAGUGCACUUGAAAAAGGCUAGAAUGUGCACGACCUUUAUCCUUGCGCGGAUCAAGUUAAAAUGUGUUGACUCAUUUAUCUACGAGUUACACAUGACACGAUAUUUAUCUUUGUAUGAUUCUUAAAAAUAUUAGUAAUUUUUUUAUAAUAAUAUAUGUUUUACUUCUUGUCAAAGUGUGACAGAAAAUGUUAAAAUGUGCUCACUCAUUUACCAGUGAAAUAUACAUGGUACGAUAUUUAUCCUUUCAUAAAUUAAAAAUAUAUUAAUAAUUUUUUUAAUAAUAAAUAUUUAUCUCUAGACAGAGUAUACCUGAAAAGAGUAGAAUGCGUUCACUUAUUUAUUAACGAGGUAUACAUAACAUAGUAUUUAUCUCUAGGUGACUCGGGAAAAUAUGAAUAAUUUUACCAUUCGUCAAAGUGUCUAAAUAGUAUUUGAAUUCAUACUGAUAAGUUACGGAACCAAAUAAAAAAUUGGGGGUUGACAAUUAGCUGUCUUUUAAGAGGCCAUGACUAGAAAUCUUGAAUGCUUGCGAGAAAAAAAAAAAAUAUAUAUAUAUAUAUAUAGCUUAUACUAGGUAAAUGCACAACUGCUCGACGAGAGUGUACACAUACACCUCUCGGGGGUUUACGAACCCCCGUCAUGCUCCCAUUUUUUCUAUGGAAACUUCAUUGUUCACCAAGCUCCGACCACCACCGUCAGUUCUUAAAUGGGGUGAAUCAACCAACACCACCACAAUUUCUGCCUUGUUUGAUCUUUAAAUCAAUAAAGAGUUGGUUCCCAUUUUGCACAGUAUCUUUUAUCCAUAAAAUAACAUGAUAAGAAAAGUUGGAAAUUUUAGAUCUCAAGUUAAAUUUCAUUUAUGUUAUAAAUUUGUGGUUUGUUGUUCUUUAACCCAGAUGAUAAUUACUUCGUUUCUCUAAUAUUGAAAAAAAUACAUAUCACCACCAAAAUAGUCCAUAAAAAAAACAGAGAGAAAUACAAUACAUUAUCGGUACAGGUUGUGGAUGCAAAUAGAGUAGAGAUUAUGUUUUGGAUUUAUGUUCAAGUCAUAUGUGGAUCAGCAACAUGUAUUGUUAGAAAUGGCCUUGCAUGGUCGAUGGGGAUCAAAUCAAAGAUUUCAUUGCUGGCUCUGUUUUCCUUGUGUUUUCAGCUUCAAUUUCUUUUGCCUGGAUUGUGCUGGAUAAUCUUGUCAAAUCUAUUCGAAUUAGAAAUUUGAGUUAUUGAACUCGAAGUCUUAAAAUUUGAUUUGAUAAAAAAUAAUAAUAAUUUGAAUUCAAACCCGAAUUCAUCCUAAGUUAAAUUGUUUAUUUACUUGAAUUAAUUUAAAAUAAUUUGAACUCGAACAUGUUAGAAUCUAAAAUACUUAGAAUCCAUAUAACUUGAUUUGUAAAAUCCAAAUUCAAAACAAUUCAAACCUAAAAUGCCCCAAAAAUUUUAAAACUUUAAUUAAUUUGAUUCAAAUGCAUCCGACUCACCCAAUUGAAGACAAAUCUACUUGGAUCUACUAGUUUUUUUAAUGUACCUUAUCUAUGAAAGGCUUUAAAAUUGAAUAUGAAAUAUUACAAAUUGUUGAGUAUUUUUCUGUUGUAUCUCAUUGAAGGGGACAAUUAAAUAUUUAUACACAUGGUUACUGUUCAUGAAAUUGAUAUUCUUAGUAGGCUCUAUACAUACUGGACACAUAUACUGUUUUGGUUUCUUUGAUGGACUUCGUGGCCCCACAUGCAAACUCUUUGGGUCUAUGCGAACUGAAAUUGCAGACUCCCUAUGCGAGCACUCCUCGGCAUAUGCUAAUUGAGACUGUGAACUCCCCUAACUAAGCCCUCACUAUAAGGCCUGCACACAUCUAGUAGAGCUCAGUCGGGUCACGGGUAGGCAACCCAAACUUUAUCUAAAUUUUAGGUUGGUAAUCAUAAAUACAUAACAAGUGGACUCAUCCAUGAGUUUAGUGACCCACUCUAAUUGAGAUAGAUGUCAGCAUGACAUUUUUCAUUUUGGUCAAGUACGUUUGGCUUGAAUUAAAGAUUAAUGACAAAAAUAUAUAAGGAUUAAUAAAAGAUUAUAUAUUUUUAAUAGUUUAUUAUUUUAUGAAUAGAAAAUAAGUUGCUGGGUCGAAUUGAAUUUUGCUUCAAUUUAGAUUUUUUUUUCAAUUAAGCCCUAAUUUUUGUUUUUAAUCAGGCUCAAUCUAGCUGGCCCAUGCACACGUCCACAACAUUUAAAGGAAAUAUGUGGAAUAGUUGGCAAAAUUUUCAUCCACUAUUAUUGAAUCAUCAACCACGGUUGACCCAUUGAAACAAGUAGUUUCUUUUGAAGUGUCUCCUUAAAAUUAAUUGAGUAUUAAUUUGUUGCUGCAUUAUUCGAAAUUUACGAGUUUGAAAUGUAUAAUGUUCCCUCAAUGAUUUGGGUAAUAUAUGGACAUAAAUUUUUUUAUUUAUUUAUGUUGCAAUCAUUACUAGAUAAGUGUGAAAUCGAACCAAAAAGAAAAUCCAAAAGUCGUUGAAAAUAAAUGUUAAUUGCAAGAUGCAACUUGAAAAACAGACUUAAAUUUCAAUGGAUGAAACCGAAAACUUUAGGGAGUGCGGGGGUUGGGAUUUAAAAUUCAAUGAGAAGCUGAAAAGUUGGUUGAAAAAUAGGUGAUGGGAUACAUGUGUGGCGGCUUUGGUUAACCACUCAUUAAACUGUGACAUUUUAGUGCAUAAACCUCAGCCUGAACGUAUGAAUCCACAAUGCCUUGAGCACGAAGUAAUCUCUAUUUUCUUUAGUAUUUUAUUGAAACAAUGAACUUGUUUUUGGCUAUUUUACCAAAUUGACUCAAAAAAGUUUGAUAUUUAUAAAAAUGACUCAAGUUUAAAAAUAAUCACCAAAAUAACUUGAAAUGAACAGUAAAAAGAGGUUUUGCCUGGUCAAUGACCGGCACCACCUGAUGUUUUAGACCCAUGAUUACCUGAUGAUUGUAUCAGACUUUAAAAAAUUAAAUUUUUUGGUUCUGACCUGUCAAUGACCAGCACCAGUAUAUUUUUUAAAAUCGUAUUAUACUGGUAUACAAAAAUUUAAAAAAAAAAAAAAUUUUGGGUGCUGGCCUGUCAAUGGUCGGCACCAGUAUAUGAAAAAAAAAAUUUAGGCGCUGCCUUAUCAAUUGUCAGCACCAGUAUACGAAAAAAAAAAUUUGUGCUGGCCUGUCAAUGGUCGGCACCACCAGUACGAAAAAAAUUGUUUUGGGUGUUGGCCGGCACCAGCAGUACGAAAAAAAAAUUUUAUGUGCUGGUCUAUCAAUGGCCGACACCACCAGUAUGAAAAAAAAAAUUUUGGUGCUGGCCUGUCAAUGUCCGGUACCAGCAAUAUGAAAAAAAAAUUUUGGGUGCUAGCCUGUGAAUGGCCGGCACCAGUUUAAAAAAAAAUUGGUGUUGGCCUGUCAAUGACUGGCACCAAUAUACGAAAAAAAAAAUUUAGGUGCUAGACUUCUAAUGGCUGGCAUCAAACUUUAUAUAUAGUGGGUGGUUUGGGUUCUGAUAGUGUAAAUGGAAUGAGAAAAAAAAUUAAGAGAGUCAUCAAAAUAAGAGUGUUUUGUAGUAUAUCAUCAAAUGAGUUUUUUUGGAGUGGAUUGUAUAUGGAGUUUUUCGUAGUGUACAACCAAAUUUCGGGGUUGAAUUAUAUACUGUCAUAUUUUAAUGGAGUUGAAUUAUAUACUGUCAUAUUCACCCUAAAGGUUAUGUCAUUAAGGGUUGGAUGAUUAUUUGCACCAUAUAUGGCUAAUCGAGUUGUCCAACGUAGAUGGACAUUAUCUAUGGUGCAAUAGUGUUUAUUCCACAACUAGAUUGUGGUUGGAACCGGUUGGUAGAGUCUCACAUGCAAAGGUAUCUCGUGGGAAAAUGGAAGAAGAAAAAGUCUAGAGCAGAAGACGAUUAAUCGUGAAGAAACUAGUACCGAUGCAACGUAGACCUGAUUCAAGCAGAAGACGAUUAAUUGUGAAGAAACUAGUAUUAAAAAUAAUUGUAUUAUUUCUUAAGAAUGUUUAUAUUUUUUUAUAUCUGUAAAUUUAAUAUAGUUGUUUAGGAUUUAAGGUUUCAUUUUUAUAUUUUUGUGUAAUAAUUUCAUAGAAUGUUUGUAUUUUUUAUAUGUAAAUUUAAUUUAAUCUGUAAUAUAUAAAUUUUGAAAAUUAAAUUUUCGUAUAUUAAUUUUACCCGGUUUGUAGUUCAUUGGGUGUUUAAAUUUAAUAUAGUGCAUAUUAUUUUUGUUUGAAUUUUAUAUUUUUUGUAUUAAUAUUGUAGAAUGAUUGUAUUUUAUUGUGCACGUAAAUUUAAUUUGUCGUGUAGUAUUAGUUAUUUGAAUUAUUAUUUUUUAAAUAUUAUGAAGUCAUUUAUUCAAACAAAUAAUUAUUUUAGAGAAAUUAAAUUAAUAUUAAAAAACAGAAAAAUUUAACAAUAAAAGAAAUAUGUAUAGAAUAAUUUUAAAAUAAAAUAAAAAUUAAUAGAAAAAAAUUAAAAUUGUCACGAUCCCGGGGACGUCCCCGGCUCUGGCAUGUAACAGCCCUGAUGCCUUCGUCGACAAUGUCGUGCACCUUGCUGAGGCAUUUGAUAAUUGCUUGGUUUGGCAUCUGGUGUCCCAGCCGAUGUACUUAGAAAGGUAGAAUAAUCAUAUACACUAUAAUCGGGAGUUAAUUGGUAUUGCGUGACCGGAGGUACCGAUAGAAAAAUAUCCUCAGUGGUGGGUGUACGUGCUUCGAGAUGGAACUCUGGGUGGUAUGAGGAUGAUUCAAAUCGUGUCGAAUGUUUAGGCUCGAGGUCGUCACCAAAAAUAUCUUCGAACGAUGGAGGAAUUUCAUGCAGUGAAUCCGGAUCCAUGUUGUGUGAUGAUGAGCAGUAUGCUUCAUAUUAGGCGUCGAGAUCGGGGUUCGAGGUAGUAUCGAACUCGAUGUUCCCAAAUGGCGGAACUCGAUUACUGCACGGUUGUGUGUUCCUUGGUUGCCAUCGAGAAGAUUUAGGUUGCGCGUCUCUUUGGAUCAGCAUGUACUAACCUUGGAAUAUAAAGGGUUUUCCGUGUGCCAUAUACCAUGCUGUGUACUUAGGCGUGGAGAGAACCCUACUUCUAAGACAUACAAGGGAAGGCGCCUCGAAUGUCGCUAAUUCCACAGAAAGAUAUACGGUUCAUUUUUUGCUCUCAAUUUAAAGCGUCUUGACUCGAACCCUUUUUAUCCAUUCUAUGUACUUCUUUGAUGUCGACGAAAGGGUUCGAGAUGGGUUGUGCACAACCGAAUUGCCUCAAAACUCGACCUCCAUCAUGCCACUCCACCAUAUGGAAAUGAAUUAAUGGUACAUUUGACACGAACAACUAUUGCUGCUCGAUAACCCAUGAUAGUAUGAGCGCCGCGAUAUCUUCCUCAUUAUAUGGCAUCCAUAUAAACUGCAAAAUAAAGACAACACGUUAUUUUUUUCUUAUGCAAUUAUUGUAUUUAAAAAAGAAAUAUUCGAAAUCGUAUUUUACGCCAUCCUCGGAAUGAGUCUUUAUCAUCAUACAGUACAUAAGUAUGGUGAACGAUCGCCCAAUUCCCGAUACAGUUGCCCAUCUAAAAAAUAAAAAUUAUCAAAUUAUUUUUCCCAUGCAAAAAAUAAGUAUAUUAUAGUAUACAAUAAAAAAAUAGAUGACAAAAUUGAACUACAUAUUUACCUAUUAACGAGUGGCCAGACAUACGGUUGGUGGCUCACUGAUGCCAGAAAUGGCAUUCGGUAUAAUGCCCAAGACUGUAGUAGAAGGCAGCAACCGCCCAUUAUUUUCGUAGACGGCUUUGUCGCUCGACAAAGCUCACGGUAUAAGCAUGCCAACACUGCAGAGCCCCAAAUAAAUCUUCCCGCAAGCUCGAGAUCCUCUAAUAAGGGGAGAUACAUUAAUGAGACUUUAUUUUGACUGACGUCCAACAAAAGUAUCCCACCUAUAAGUUGAAGAAUGAACACUCUUGUAGUGUAGAUAAUGUCCAUCUGCGUUGGACUGCUCGGAAGAUGCUGGAAGUUUUCUUUUAACAAAGUAAAUUUAAUAUAUGUUAAUCAUCUUUCCUCGUUGUUCGGGGGCACCCUUUCAAGUAACUGCUUGCAAGUGCCCCACGGGUCGGGCACUCUUCCAAGCCCGAUCACUGGUUCGCCGUUUAUAGACAGCCCUAGUUGGGCUGCUACAUCUUGCAGUGUAAUAUUUACCUCCCCACAUGAGAGGUGGAACGUAUGUGUCUCCGGGCGUCAUCUUUCAACUAAUACCGAUAUUAAAUCGGCCCGCAGCUUAGAUAUCUUAAUGUACGCGGAUACCCCAAAACCCGUGACAUUCAAAUACGAUAUAACUCUUCGAUCGGGAAAAUAACUGGGAUCAUGCAAUCGGGGUCUCAUAAUUCUGUACAAAUUCUGUGUUUAUAGUAAAUAAAUAAUGUUAUAUUUCUCGUUUUAAAAAUAAUUUAAAAGAAUAUUUAAAAUUAAAUAAGAUAUUUUAUUUCUUGUUUACCUUAUGCACAUUACUUGCAAUGUGGUCAUUGUCAUUUAAAAGAACAUUCGGAUUAGGAUCCAUAAAGUGGUCGGCAGUUGUCGGCGGUGGUUGAGGGUGAAUAGCGACGGUCGUCGGUGAUGGUUGAGGGUGAACAGCGGUGGUCGUCGGAGUUGCCUAUUUAUAGUGGGGGACCAUUUGGCUGAAGGGCAAAAUUGAAAAAAAAAUUGCAAAAAAAAGGUGUAAGGCCGGCCAUUGGAAGGCCAAAUUGGCUAGUGACACAGACCUGACGCAGAUGGGUCAUUUCAACCCUUUUUUUUUCAUUCAAAAUUUAUUUUAAUUUCAUUACUUUUUAUUUUAGUUUCAUUUAAAUUUUCCUAAUAUCAGGGUAAUUUAAUAUUUUUCAUCUAUUUUUUAAACUUUUUUAAAUUUUACUUUUGUCAAUUUAAAUUUAAAAUUUUUCUAAAAAAAAGCUAAUUUCAUUUUUUUGGGGUUUUUAGGCCUGACACCCCAUUUAGAUAAAUUAAAUUUGUUAAAAUAAAUCUAAUUUCAUUUUUUUUUCAUUUAAUAUUUUAUUUAAAUAUAUUCAUUUAUUUAUUAUUUUUGUUAAUUUAAAAUUUAAAUUUAUUUAAAAAAUAUCAAAUUUCAUUUUUUUUUAUUUUUUUUAGCUUGACACCACAUUUAUUAGGCUUGAUAACCGAUAUUUCAAUUUUGAAGGCCAAAAAUAUGAAAAAAAAAAUGUGUAAGGCCACCAUUGGAAGGCCAAAUUAGCCAUUGACACAGGCCGGACACAGGUUUGAUGCGUCCUUAACUUUUUUUUUUUCGUUUCAUUUCAUUUUAUUCUAAUUUCGUUUCCAUUACCAUUUCCCUUUCAUUUCAUUUAAAAUAUUUUUUUUUCAAUUUCAAUUUAUUUUUUUCUCAAUUCAUUUAUAUUAUUUUUUAAUUUAAAUUUAACUUUUUCUGCACUUCAUUUAAAUUUUCUAUUUUCAAUGCAAAUUUAUUUUUUUCUUAUUUCAUUUUAUAUUAAAUUUUCUAUUUUCAAUUCAAAUUUUUUCUCCUCAUUUAAAUUAAAAAUUUCCCUCAUUUCAUUUAAAUUUAAUUUACUUUCAACUUUUUUCUCAUUACAUUUAAAUUAUCUAAUUUUUUUAAAUAUUUACAAUAUUUUUAUAAGAACAUGCUCUCAAUAAUAUAUCACACGCCAUCUUGGAGUCCAGCAUUACGAGACGAUUGACCGGAAAUGUAGACAUGAUGUAGGCAUGUUGAUCGGUUGUGUCUGAAUGUUCAGCACACAGUGCACAGUUUGGGUUCACGCAUCUCCCUAACAUCCAUGUCAUUUUGAAUUCUCGUCGAUUGUGGUCGACCUUUAGGAUGUCUGUGGAGACUACAGUCAGGCACCAUCUCGAUAGCAUGCAGUGGAACUUCCUAGUUUGAGACAUCAGGCAUUACAGGAAAUUUGUUCCCCCAUAUACUUAAUAUGCGUUGCAACGUGUAGAUCUCGUCUAUGAAUUUGUUCAACAUUUAAGUUUCCUGUCGCACACACUGCAUGAACAUGGGCACACAGAUAUCAAAGAGUUUGAAAUAUCCCGCACUUGCAUCGCCUGUUUCGCAGACCAACUGCGUACGACCUAGGUAGAAGACCCGAAUGACGGCCGAUGUACUCCUGAACUUGGAAAGUCUCCAAGUCGCUCGAAUACAUUUCUGCGUUCAUUGUUUGUGCCCUUCGACUAUUUACCGCCAUAGCCUUUCGAAUGGCCUCUAUGUACAUGUGCCCGGCCUCGAUCUGCUUAGCUUGUCUCAACCCCAUCUUAGGCAUCAAUUUCGUCAACCUAUAGAAUGUUGCCGAGAAUACAACAAAAAUCGGGAGAUGGCGUGUGUGCCUAAAUACAGAGUUGACCGCCUUUACCAGGUUAGUCAUCAUCUGCCCGUACCGAAACCCCUCAUCGUAACUUUGAGUCCAUUGCCAGUUCUCUAUGCUGCCCAACCAUGUCCAGAGAUUUGUUGGUAAAGAUGACAUUUGAGAUUCAAGCCUUACGAACCUCUGCCUGAAUCUUCUCAGUUCUAACUCAUGGGUUGCAUAUUUAAUUUGAAAUCACCAAUUUAAAAAAGACAAAAAAUUUGAAAAGUAAUUUUUGAAAUAAAUACAAACAAAUUUUUUUACCCAUGUUCACGAGUUCUUUUUUCCAAUCUUUAUUCUUAUAAUCUCUAUGAAAGUUUGUCGCGAAGUGUCGGAUGCAAUAAAUAGACCUCCAUGGAACCCCCUAUCGCCUUAUUGCAGCAAGUAAUCCUUUCGAUAUCUCAGAUAUAAGGCAAAUGUUGUCUUUUCUGACAACGUGCCUCCGCAGAUUUAUGAGGAAAAAUUCCUAAGACUUGAAGCACUCACGCUCCAUGAUGGUGAAAGCAAUCGGAAGUAUAUUUCGAUUGUUGUCUUGUGCAACAACAAUAAAGAGGAUUUACGUGUAUUUGCCAUACAACCAUGUCCCGUCCACCUGCACCAUCGGCUUGCACUGAGGGAAGACCCUAACACACGACUCGAACAUCCAAAGCAAUCAGUGAAAAACUCGUUUCCCCGGUUGUAUCUCCCCAUCAGGGCCUUUAUACGAUAGUGUUUGUAAAUCAGUCACUGUCCCCGGUACAUACUUCUGCAUCCCAUCUAUCCACCCUUGAAGCUCGUUGUAUGACGCAUCUCAGUCACCAUAAAACUCUCGCAUUGCCAUUUUCUUUGCUCACCAUGCCUUUCGGUACGACACUUUGUACUUGAAUCAAACUUGUAUAUUCGCAAUAAGGACCGACACUUGAAUGGUCGGCGACUCUUUCACCAAAGGGAUGAUGCAGUUGCAUAUGGUUUUUGCAUCUAACCAUGGUCUUGUGACAUACGAGCGGACGUGCAUGUGUGUGGACCUUCUAGUUUCCUUAUCAUCCACAUCUGUGUCCGCUACAUUAACGCGGCUCGGACACGCCAUUUACAACCACUCGAUGCUUUUCAACAUUCUCCUACAUACAAAGACUGCAUCGACUUCGUUACUUUAUAAUCCACACCUAACUUCAAGCUAAGUUGUUUUAUAACAUGUAAACAGUCUUUUUGUUAUCAAAUUGUUGUCCUACAAACAACUCUUUUUUGUCGAAUUCAUUGUAAACUAGGUGAGCUACACAAAAUUUGUAUAUUCUGGGAACUCGCGUACAAGAAUCGCAUCAGGAUCCACGUCGGUCAUGAAGGACCCUGGAUUAUUUCUUAUAACUAUACCAGGGCUUAUGUUUCCGGCUGAAUGGGGGUUCCCAUUUUCACCCUCUACCGGCACUUCUUCAUCUAUGUCUUCAGGGAUGUCAUCCAAAUUGAGGUCACUAAAAUCAUCGUUGGGAUCACGGUAGGACUGAUCAUCAUUAUUAGACCCUUCAUCACUAUCUUCUAUGGUGGCCAACACCUUUGGAUGGAUCUCUAGAUGAGGAGAUGAGUCUGGGGUGUUAUACGAACAUCUAUCGGUGUUUGGAUUUUUGGAAGUUGGCGUUGACCGUCCAAAACCCAACUAAUCUUCCCAAGAGACGUUAAGAUCAAAAUCAAUUCCGAAACGUUGGCUUGCUGGAAUUACCACUUGAAUGGGAUCCGAUUCAGCUGUCUCCGUGAACAACUCAACUGAGCUGGGAAUUUCUAUCUCAAGAGGGUAAUAAAUUACUAUCAUUGUCCCUAAAUCAUCAUCUUCAAGCUCCAUAUCUGAGAACUUUAGCGGAUCAGUUGAAACAAAAAAUUUGUAAAAUAGUCUCAACAUCUGCUUUCCGCAAUGGGUUGCUAUCUUUGUACUGAUUUUUCGUUUUAAAUCUGAUAGCGAAAUUCGUUUGUUGAAUCUCAUUCAUAUUUUUUUCGGCUUCUAAAUACACAGCCUUCUUCAGUUGUAUUUAUCACUUCUCCAUCGAAAUGAACAUAAACAAACAACAUUUAGGAACUCAUUUUAAAAAAAAAUUGCUUUCUUCUAAACAAAGGAAAAAAAAUUGAAACCAAACAAAAUGGAAGUUAAAAUACAUAUAUAUAUUUGAUAAAUUUGGUGCUGACCAUUGAUAGGUCAACACCAAAAUUUUUUUUUCAUACGCUAGUGCCGGUCAUUGACAGGCCAGCACCUAAUUUUUUUUUUCGUCUAUUGGUGCCGGCCUAAAAAAAUUUCUUUUUCGUACUGCUGGUGCUAUCCAUUGACAGGCUAACACUCAAUUUUUUUUUUCGUAUACUAUGUAGGCCAUUGACAGGCCAGCACCGCAAAAAUUCUUUUCGUACUGUUGGUGCCGGCCAUUAACAGGCCAGCACCCAAAAUUUUUUUUUCGUACUGUUGGUGCCGGCCAUUGACAGGCAAGCGCACCUAUAAAAUUUUUUUUCGUACUGCUGGUGUCGGCCAUUGACAAGCCAGCAUGAAAAAAUUUUUUUUUCGUCUGGUGGUGCCGACCAUUGACAGGCCAGCACCUAAAUUUUUUUUUCGUAUACUGAUGCCGGCUAUUAACAAGGCCAACACCCAAUUUUUUUUUUGUUUUUUAAAAAAUUUUUGUAUUCCAGUAUGAUACUAUUUUUAAAAAAUACACUGAUGCCAGCCAUUGACAGGCCAGAACCAAAAAAUUUAAUUUUUUAAAGUUUGGCACAAUCAUCAGGCAAUCAUGAGUUCAAAAUACCAAGUGGUGCCGGUCAUUAACAAUCAAGUCUUUUAAUAACAGUUGACUGUAUAUCUUUUCAUGGAAAAGCAGUGGACUUAUCCAUGAGCUUAGUGACCCACUCUAAUUGAGAUAGAUGUCAGCAUGACAUUUUUCAUUUUGGUCAAGUACGUUUGGCUUGAAUUAAAGAUUAAUGACAAAAAUAUAUAAGGAUUAAUAAAAGAUUAUAUAUUUUUAAUAGUUUAUUAUUUUAUGAAUAGAAAAUGAGUUGAUGGGUCGAAUUGAAUUUUGCUUCAAUUUAGAUUUUUUUUCAAUUAGGCCCUAAUUUUUGUUUUUAAUCAGGCUCAAUCUAGUUAGCCCAUGCACACGUCCACAACAUUUAAAGGAAAUAUGUGGAAUAGUUGGCAAAAUUUUCAUCCACUAUUAUUGAAUCAUCAACCACGGUUGACCCAUUGAAACAAGUAGUUUCUUUUGAAGUGUCUCCUUAAAAUUAAUUGAGUAUUAAUUUGUUGCUGCAUUAUUCGAAAUUUACGAGUUUGAAAUGUAUAAUGUUCCCUCAAUGAUUUGGGUAAUAUAUGGACAUAAAUUUUUUUAUUUAUUUAUGUUGCAAUCAUUACUAGAUAAGUGUGAAAUCGAACCAAAAAGAAAAUCCAAAAGUCGUUGAAAAUAAAUGUUAAUUGCAAGAUGCAGCUUGAAAAACAGACUUAAAUUUCAAUGGAUGAAACCGAAAACUUUAGGGAGUGCGGGGGUUGGGAUUUAAAAUUCAAUGAGAAGCUGAAAAGUUAUAUGAGAAAUAGGUGAUGGGAUACAUGUGUGGCGGCUUUGGUUAACCACUUAUUAAACUGUGACUUUUUAGUGCAUUAACCUCAGCCUGAACGUAUGAAUCCACAAUGCCUUGAGCAUGAAGUAAUCUCUAUUUUCUUUGUAUUUUAUUGAAACAAUGAUUUUGUUUUCCUUAAUAAUCUGGGUAUACUAUACAGCAAUUAGUCAAAUCAAGUCUUUAUUAACAGUUGACUGAAUAUCUUUUCAUGGAAAAGCAGUGGAAAUUAGGCAAAGAACUGUCACAUGAUCUAGUUGAGUAGUCAUUAGUGACGUCUUCAAACAGAAACGAAAGGAAGGGAAUUCGUUAAAAAGCAAGUUUAAUUCAGAGGCGAAAAUAAUGACAAAAUGAACAAUAUGGCUACGGGUUUGCGUACGUUGAUGGCACUGCAAGCACUGUUUUUGUGUGUUUAAAACCAAACAAAGCGUGAUCGUCAUUAAAUGUGUGUUGGCCAAGCAACUGUCCUCUAUAAUCAUUUCCAACCAUUUAUAUAUAUGAAUAUAUCCAAAACUAUCUCUACGAAGCAUUGAAUUGUUAUCAACUAAUCAAUAACCUAUAUUGGUAUGGAUGAAUAUUGAAGAUUUCGGAUAUUGAAAACACAACCACAACACAAUAAUCUCAAACUAACUAAUGACUAUAUUUUAUAUCGUAAAAGUAUCGUGAAGAUUUUUGUAUUUAGAAUUUAAUUGUAUUUUUGUUCCUUUUAUUAAAAGGAAGGUUCUAUUUGUUUGAUAAGUAUACUUUCUUUUUUUCUUUUUACAUUAUUGGUAAAAUUUUAAUUUUGGUUCAUCUAUUUUUAUAUUAUAUAAAAAGGGUUAAAUUUUAAUUUCAAUCCCUAUACUAUAUUCAAAUUUGAGAUUUAAUUUUUAUAAAUUAAUUUUAACAUAAUUUGACACAUCAACAUUUAUAAUGUCAUUAGUUAAUCUAACUAUUUUAUUCUAAAUGCUAACAUAAAUUUUAAUAAUUUUUAAAAUCAUUAAAUAUUUUUGUUAAAUUUAUGUCUAUUACAAAGUUAUUUUUUUCUCACAUGAUUAUCGAGUUAGUACUUUUUAAAUUCUAGAAUGUCACGCCAAUAAAAUAAAUAUAAGAAUUUUAACAAUAUUAACAACUGGACUUGAAUUUUUAAUUUCUAAAAAUAGAGAGGCUAAAUUCUUAAAAAUAAAAAUACAAUAAUUAAAUUUCAAAUAUACAAAGAGUUUAAAUAGUUGAAGCAUAUUAUAAACUUUAAAUUUUAAUUAUUUAAUUCAAAAAUAAUUAAGACAACACAAAGCUGGAGAAGAAAAAAUCAAUUAAGUUCAUAUAUUAAAUUCACACCCAAUUAAGCUAUUGUCGUUAAUUAAAAUAAUUAAUUAAAUCUCUCCAUUAAGAGUGUCUGUCAUUGACAAUGUUGACCGUUAAAAUAAAUUGGCGGACUAAUCAAACGGUUACAUAUGGUAGCUUUUGGUUUAAUCUAUUAUUUUUCUCAUACAAAAUGAUUAAAAAUCAUAAAAUCAUUAAAAAAAGAGAAAAUAUUAAAAAUAUUAAAAUUGAUAUAUUAAAAAUAUUAAAAUUGAUAUAAACUUAUUAAAAUUAAAAAAAUAUAAAAACUAAUGAAUAUUAUAAAAUAUAACAAACUAAUAAAUUAUAAAAGGAAAUUUAUAAAAUUAAUAAAGUUUAUUUAAAAUAUUUAAAGUUAAAAAAAACAUAUCAGAAUUCUUUUUUGGUAUAAUGCUUAGAACUACCCAUAGCACAUCUUCAACCCAUAAAUAGAAGGAUAAUGCGCUUCAAUGCACUCGAACCCAUAUCCUACUAUAUUGACAACAAUGCCCAUGCCAAUCGAACUAAGACUCAAUCGACUCAUAUUAGAAUCCUUUAAAAAUAAUAAAAAAUGUUCAAAUUUAUUAAAAAAUAUUUAAAAUGAUAUAAAGUUAUAAAAAUUAUAAAAUAAAUCAUAAAAACUUGAACUAGAUCGGUUAUCCCUAAAUCGACAAGGGUACUGGUAUGAGGAAAGCCAUUAUACCGGUUGACCUAGGAACUGGGUAGUUAAAUUGAUUUUUAUUUUUAAUUCUUUUAUCAAAUCAAAAUUUCAUUAUCCAACUAUUAGCAUAUGUCAAAAUGAAAUAUUCUAACCAAGGUUUUUAGUACUAGACCGGUGGUCAAACCGGUCUGGCCAUCAGUUUUUCAGUUCAGUUUAUCUGUCUAGUUCAAUUAAAUAAAAAAUUAAAAAAAUUAAAAAAAAUAAAAAAAUUGGUUCAACCAUUUGGUUCCUAGGUCAAUUGAUCUAAUGACUUUCUCCAGACUGAUACCCUUGCCAAUUUUGAUCUAAUCGGUCCAAUUGACUAAUUCAAUCCAGUUCAAUUUUUUUAUGAUUUUUUUAUAAUUUUUGUAAGUUUAUAUCAAUUUUAAUACUUUUUAUGAUUUUUAUAGAAUUAUAAUAUGUUUUUAUAAAAAUUUUAAAUAUGUUUUAUUAAUUUCAUAAAAUUUUAUAAUUUUCUAUCAACUUUCAUAUAUUUUUAAUAUUUAAUAAUUUUUAUAUCUCUUGAUUAUUUUUAUGAUCUUUUUUAUAAUUUUUAUGAUAAUUUUAUGAUUUUUUAAUUAUUUUAUGGAAAAAUAUGGGAUCAACUAUAGGCUGCCACGUGCCACCAUCCGAUUGAUUUGUCAAUCUAUUUUAACGAUCAAUAUGGUCAAUGACGGAAACUAUUAACAACAGAACUUAAUUGAUUAUUUUAAUUAAUGAUAGAGGUUUAAUUGGAUGUGAAUUUAAUAUAGGGAUUUAAUUGAUGAUUUUACACUUUUUAAGAGUUUUUUUUUUUCACGUAUAUAUAUAUAUUUAGGAAAUAAAUAGCUAAACGAUAUGGGUGCAUGAAACAAUUAAUUAAUGUUGAUCAAUUUUUCUUUCAUCUCAUAAAAGACAUUGAUGUGAACAAGUUUAUAUCCGAAAAAGUCCACAUUAACAGGUAAUGUGAGAUUUAAAGACGUCUCUUACUUUUUAUGGUAUUGAUUGUGACAAUGAUAUUAUUAGGUGCAAUUUAAUAAAGUGUUGAGCAAGUUGGGAAAAAAUAUUCGAAGGGUUAAAAUACCUUCUUAGCCCUUGUACUUCUGCAAAAUUAGAAAUUUAAAAUCUCUACAUUUAAAAAGUUAAAAAAUUUGUUUAAUACCUUAGUCUAAUCAUUAGUAUCAUAAGUAUUUUCAAUCAAAAUUUGUUUAACUUAGCAUGUUGGUUAGGUUACUAUCAUAUAAUUUGGUAUAUGAUUGACGGAAAAUAAUCAUGUUAAGUUGACAUUUUUUUACAGAAACUAUUAAUGAUGUUAAAUAAUUAGAGUAAGGUUCUAAAUUGGAAAAGUAAUUUUAAAGUAUAAGGAUUAGAUCUAAAAUUUGUAAAGGUAUAUAAAAAAAAACUUGUUUCAACCAAACCAAAAUAAAGUCAAACUGACAAGAUUUCGAGUAAUUAAUCCAAUCAAUUCAAUAGAUAAGUUGAAUCAAAAAUAAUUUUUUUUAAGGAUCUUACAAGUAUAUUAGUAAGUACUUGAACGAUUGCCUCAAUCAAAUUAGUAUAAAACAUAAGUGGAUUGAAAUUUAAAAUAUAUUUUAGAUAGAGUUACACGUUGUAGGAUUUAAAUUCAAAAUAAAUUAAGGUGAGAAAUUAUUGUAACACCUCAUUACUUGACUUGAUUGCCAGGUCUGAGUUACAAUGUGUCACAUUCGUUAUCAGAACAAUUACGGUUAAAGUACAUUUAUUUUCAAACUGUUAAACAUAUAAAUGUAACUAAAACAAGUGUAUCAAACGAUACAUAAUCAUUUAAGGGUCUUAUACGAGCUUACGAAAGAUCUUUUACUAACCCAAACUCGAAAUAGGACCAAAAAAUAAGGAUUCUAAAAUUUUGGGUUGACGUUGCGACGCUAAGGGUUUCUUGUCACGAUGCAACUCUCUAUUUGGUGCUCAUCGUGACCUUGAAGCAACGACAUCGCCACAAGGACUUUGCUUUAUUUCUCGUCGCGACAUCAGUGAUUCGUCGUCAUAAUGUGACUCAUUGUUUCCAAAAAGGACUAAUUUGAAACAAGUUUUAAAGACCUGUAUUAACAUGAAUAAUCUCAAUCACAAUCAAACAACACAUUUACAAUUGCAUAUGAGACAAAACAUACCAAAACGAUACUUCAAAAUUACAUUACACGGCUAAGUUCCAAGUUUGACCAUUUUUGAUACAAAACCGACGUGAACCCUAGGUAAAUGCCUUACAAUAUAAAUGGUACUUUAAAAACUUUGUUGAGUCAGAAAAUAUCAUCUGGAUGUUGACUUCAAUUCCUGAGACUUUGAGAAAACAAAUUAUACAUUUAGCAAUAGACUCAGUGGUACAUUUGUAAUUCAAGACAUAAAUAUAUGAUCUAACAUUAACAAGGAGCUUUAGCACUAACCAAGCAUCAUGUACUCAACAUUUAAUAAAAACAUAUAUCUAAUGGUCAAUUAUAGUUCAAUAUCCAUCUAUACAUACAUAUGCAUAGCAACAUAUCAUUAACCAACCUAUUUAACGAUAUUCAUACAUGUUCAAUUUCCAACUUGAUAUCUGAUGAUCAAUCAUACAAUACAAUUAAGAAUUAAACACAAAUAUUUAUAUAACCAUUCCAUUCAAUUCAAUUUUGGAGUCAACCGACUCAUCCAUAUUUGUUUUGGCCCCCAUGCCUCGUUUCGGUGAAUUUACAAGUUGGAUGACAAACUUGUUUUCAAAAUACAAACCAUAUUCGAUUAUACUAUUAAUUUCAUAACAUUACUAAUUCCAUUUUCAACAUUAUAGUCAUACUUAUCGUUUAUAACCCUUAUUAAUUAGACUCGGAAUGGGAUGGAUACUCGAAUCAUCCAACCAACGCACUAGACUGGCACCGAAGUGCAUUAUCAUAUAAGUUGAAAUAAAGGAAUCUGGCACAUAAAGUGCAUACUGGUGCUCAAAGCGCAUACUAGCACAUGAAGUGCAUUCUAGCGCGUAAGUGCAUAAACUCGUACAUAAUCCAAUCCUAUGGCUUGCCAACUAUAAAUGUACCACUGAGUCUAUUGCUUAGCAUACAGUUUGGCUUAUUCAAGCUCCCAUAACCUCAAAUAUAUAAAAAUUACAAGAAAAGACCUUGUUGCACUUACAAUUUUAUAGUCGAAAUCUUUAGGGCACAAAAAUGAUGGUUUCUCUUUUGUUUGUCUUCUUUGGCCGGUUGGAGAAGAUGAAUAUUUCAUCUCUUCUUCCACCAAUUCUAUUUAUAUUUUUUUACUUUAAUUAAACUAGUUUAAUUAAGUUAAGCCUUAAUUAUUUAACCUUAAUCAUUAAUUAAGUUAAGUAAAUGGCAUCAUCCAUCGCCUCCCACUAACAAAUAUUUAAAAUAGGUAUAUUUUCUAUUUUAGUCCUUUGGUUAAUUGUUAUUUAAGUCCCCCAAGCCUUAAUCUAAUUAAAAAUCUAUAGUGAUUAAACUUUUACAAUUUAGUCAUUGAGCCUUAAUUUCUCACAAUUUUGGCUAAAUUACUUAACCAAAUUUUAAUUCAUUAAUACACUAACACCGUAAAUAUCCCUAUUUAAUAUUUACGAAUUUGAUUUACGGAAAUGAGAUUCUGAAACUACCUUUUUCGACACCACUGAAAACCGGGUCAUUACAAAUACAUAGUUCAUACAUAAUAGAGCUUAAAUCUAAAACAUCAAAUUUUCAAUUUUAUCAUUUUAGCCAAAACUUCAUCUAGAAAAUUAAAACAAAAUUUAAAUAUUAAAUAUAAUACUUAACAAAAAAAUUAGAUUUUGUCACACCCAUGAUGUCAGUGGAAGAAAAUAUUUUAAAUUUUUUUUCUUUAAAGAUGAUUUGAAGUUUGGAAUGACAAAAACGUCAUCAUAAGAAUAUUAAUUAUAAUUGAAAGUAAGAGGUAUUUCUAUAAUUUCAUAAUUGAUUUAGUGAUUUGAUUAAGAGUGACAUGGUUACAACUAAGUGAUAUGGUUACAACUAAGAAAUUAUAUGAAUCAUAUCUCAUCACACUACACCAAAAUAGACUUUUCAUGACGUUUUAAAUAUGUCACGGAAACAACACCAAGAUGUCACUAAAAAGAUUUUGAAUUUUCAUGAUGUUUUUGACAAGACGUAAAAAAACAUCACGCAUUAACUGUAGAGAAAGUAUUUGUGAUGUUUUCACAACACUUCUCCUUUCGAGACAAUGGUAAACGUCACGGAAAGUCACAAAACGUAAUGAAAAACUACAUAUUUCCUUACAUUUCAAAAUGUCACGUUGACUAAUGAAAAUGUAACUAUAGGUUUGUUUAUAUAGUAAACCGCCAUGGAAAUUAGGGUGAAACAUCAUAAAAAGUUUCCAUUUUGUGACUUUUCGUUACGUCCCUAAGGGUCACAAAAAUUGAGAGAAACUAACAUAAUUUUGUCUAUUUGUGACAUUUAAAAUAUGUCACCAAAAUUUUCAAACAAAAAGUUUUGUUUUUCUUAUCAAAGGUAAUUAUAGUGACAAAAGUGUCUUGAAAACUGUUACUUUCUGUGACACUUAUAUUUUAUAAUGUAAAUAAAACAAUGAAAUGAGCACAAAUACAUGAACUCCACCUUACAAAAAUUAAAAUCAAGUACUAAGGUUCAAAUACUAAAACAUAAAUCCAAAAUAAAAAUGGAAAUUUUAGUUGAAAUUAAGAUAAAAUCAUGCAUAUGAUCAUGAAGAUUGAAGGGUAAAAUCAUGAAAACUAUUGACCAGAUUGCAAUCUAGAGUCACGUCAGUAACUCAAAACAUUAGAUUGAUGAGAAGAGUGAUCAUCAACGUGUUGUGAUGGUAGAAGGGUAAUUGUUCUUGAUGGCAUUUGUGUAGUCAACUCCGUAACCUUGGCUUGGAGAUCACAAAACUUUCACCACAAAAUUGGCGGAGGGGGAAGUCUCAUUUGUGUAAUCAACUCCUAAAAUCAAUUUUUAUUAGUAUUUAUUAUGACCAAGAUAUCCUUCAUGUCCAUUUUAUGGUUCAUGAAAACUAAUCUUUUCGGAAAAAAAAGUAUUAUUAACAAUCAUAAUUAUAGUACAAACAAAAAUACAGAUAUGAGUAAUCAUAACAUAUAAUUAAACUAAUACAGGCACAACGGAUGGAGAAUCAGAAAGAAUUGAGCAAUAUCCAUCCAAGGGCAUACACACAUGUUGGGACUAGAGAUCCACACAUUGUGAACAUGAGCACUUAACAAUCUAAGAUCUUUGCCUUAAUCAACAAUACGAAGGUAUUAUUGGCCAUAUAUAUAUUGAUUUAACUAAUUCACAAAUAUCUUGUUCUAAGCAGGGGGUCUUAGGUUAAGUUAUACAUUUUUAUGAGAGUUAAAAUGUCAUUUUACCUUUGUAUUGACUUAUUUCUUUACGGUUUUUGAAAGAACUAAAUAAAAAUUUAGCAUUUUUUAGGGGUCACACAAUAAUUUUACCAUAUAUUAUGAUUUUAUGAAUUUGGGGGUCUAAUUUAGAGUUCUAAAGCAUAAAUUCUUUUUUUUCUUGGGAGGGCAUAAUCUGGGUGCCCUGUCCUUUUCCACUUGGUUCUAAAAUACAUAUUGAACCACCGAUUAAAUCUUAAUUCAAUUGGCAUUGUUGCUAUUGCAACAAUUAAGAGUAUGUGGUUUUGAGUGAAUUUAAGUGUCUUUUUCUUCCUAUUUAAAGGUAAAAAGUACUAUGGAUAGAAAUAUGAUUUAUAUUAAAAAAAAUUACAUAGGACCAAGGUGUUUAUGUUUAAAUUGAACUGGUUUUCCCAGCCAGGUCAGAUUGGGAUAUCGUUUUCUUUUUAAUAUAAAUAGACAUAUAUCCAAUCCACAAAGAGUAUACCAACUAGUACAUUUCUCUCAAUUUCUUUGAAGAGAAGUUUCACAUUUCUUGAUUUUAUACAUAAACAUCCCAUCUCCAUCACAUUCUCAAGCCUUUUCAAUGGAGUUUUUAAUGAAAAUAUGUCUCCUUUUCCUUUGUGGCCUCAUUUCUCACUUUGUUAACAUGUUUUUCCAGAAGAGAGAUCAGCAAUGCUAUAUGUUGGGUUAUGAAUGUUUCAAGGCUUCCGAUGACAGGAGGCUCGACACUGAUGCGUGCGUGAAAGUUGUGUUGAGGAACAAGAAUCUUGGUCUGGACCAAUACAGGUUUCUUUUAAAAACCAUUGUUAGUUCUGGUCUUGGUGAAGAAACUUAUGGUCCAAGGAAUGUUAUUGAUGGUAGAGAAGAGUUUCCUUCGGAAAACGAUGCACAUGCCGAGAUGGAUGAGAUCAUGUUCAGCACUCUAGACACUCUGUUCGAGAAAACAGGAGUUUCCCCGUCAGAAAUCGACAUACUCGUCGUCGAUGUCUCGUUGUUUUCACCUGCACCGUCGUUAACAUCCCGGAUUAUAAACAGGUACAAGAUGAGGGACAACAUUAAGUCCUUCAGUCUCUCCGGAAUGGGAUGUAGUGCAAGCAUGGUUGCAAUCGAUAUGGUGCAGCAGUUGUUCAAGACAUACAAGAACCAGUUCGCCAUCGUUGUGAGCACCGAAUCAAUCGCUAGGCAUUGGUACUGCGGCAAAGAGAAGUCAAUGAUGUUAUCGAAUUGCCUGUUCCGUAACGGAGGGUGUUCAAUCCUCUUAACAAACAAAAGGGACUUGAAGGAUCGAUGCUUGUUGAAGUUGAAGUGUGCCGUAAGAACCAAUAUCGGUUACGAUGACGAAGCAUACGGAUGUUGCAUACAGGUUGAAGAUCCACAAGGUUACCAAGGUUUCCUCCUUACUAAAAGCUUAACAAAAGCCGCUGCUAAAGCUUUUACAGGGAAUCUCAAGCUCCUAUUGCCCAAAAUAUUACCAGUUUGGGAACUGCUUCGAUAUGCAAUAUCAACUCUCGGGAAAAAAUCAACCAAAGGCCAAAAUUUAAGUUUCAAUUUAAAUCUCAAGUCUGGGGUUGACCAUUUUUGUCUCCAUCCAGGUGGAAGGGCAGUGAUUGAUGGGCUUGGGAAGAGUUUGGGACUUAGUGAAUAUGACUUAGAGCCAACUAGAAUGGCACUAUACAGAUUUGGGAACACAUCAGCAGGUGGUUUAUGGUAUGUUUUGAGUUACAUGGAAGCUAAGAAGAGGUUGAAGAAAGGUGAUAAGAUUUUCAUGGUGAGCCUUGGAGCUGGGUUCAUGUGCAACAACUGUGUGUGGGAGGUAAUGAAGGAUGGUUUGGAAGAUACUAGGGUUUGGGAAGGUUGCAUUGAUGAGUACCCUAGAAAAAACCUGGUCAAUCCCUUCACUGAGAAGUAUAGUUGGAUCAAUGAUGAGUGCUUGAACUUUGUCAGGCUUGACGAUCAGUUCAAUUAAGGAAAUUGCAGUUCAUAUUUUUCUUUAAGGAAUUUUAAGCAAGUUGCAAUUAUUUGUGUGG